rnacentral:rRNA from 1 species
UUAAAGGAAUUGACGGGGCCCGCACAAGCGGUGGAGUAUGUGGUUUAAUUCGAUGCAACGCGAAGAACCUUACCUGGUCUUGACAUCCCGGAGACCCUUAGGAAACUAGGGGGUGCUUCCAUCUGGAAGAAUCUGGAGACAGGUGCUGCAUGGCUGUCGUCAGCUCGUGUCGUGAGAUGUUGGGUUAAGUCCCGCAACGAGCGCAACCCUUGCCUUUAGUUGCCAGCAGUUCGGCUGGGCACUCUAAAGGGACUGCCGGUGUUAAACCGGAGGAAGGUGGGGAUGACGUCAAGUCCUCAUGGCCUUUAUGACCAGGGCUACACACGUACUACAAUGGCCGAUACAAAGGGCGGCGACACUGCGAGGUGAAGCCAAUCCCGUAAAAUCGGUCUCAGUCCGGAUUGGAGUCUGCAACUCGACUCCAUGAAGUUGGAAUCGCUAGUAAUCGUGGAUCAGCAUGCCACGGUGAAUACGUUCCCGGGCCUU